UGUUGAGAGGCUGGCCUGCGUUGAUGUGGCCAAAGAGGAAGAGCUGGGCUGGGGUGAGUGUUGGUCACACGGUUGAAACUAGGUGGGGAAGGGAGUGGUCCAGGGGAGAGUGCAGGCCCAGCUCUGCUGGGACUUGCCAUGGGGGUCCCGACUCAUCUGCAGGGAAGGUCUGGGCUCUAUCUCUGAGCACCUGUGUGUGCUGCUCACCCUGAAGUGGGGGUGAGCUUGUGCCUGUCCUGUCCUCUCAUCCUGGGAGCUCCCAGUGCCCAUCUGCAAGGCUGUGGACCCCUCAGGAGUGGCCUGGAGCCUGGCUCCCAUUGCCACAUGGUGGCUGUGUGUGCGGAGAGGGUUGAUAGUGGAGUGGUCAGGCCCAGGCUGCCCUGGGGGAUGAAGUGCCAUCCUCUGGGUGCCCUGGAGAAAGAACAGGAUUCAGUGAGCCCUGUCUGGUACCUUCCCGGAGGAGGGCUCCCAUGCUGGCCCUCUCCACCCCUCUGUCCCCUGUCACCCUGAGGCCUCUGGAUUUCCUGUCUGCCCUUCCCAACCUGCCAAUUUCAUGGGCUUCUGGCUGGGUUCUGGGGAUGGCCCCUAGGGGAGAUGGGCCUGGCAUAAGCAGGGCCUUGUCAAGGUGGGUAUGUAGGGGUAGCACAAGUAUGCAGAGCCUGGGGAGGCAUGGGCAAAGCAUGGCAGGCGGCGGGGCAGGGGCUCUUAGAAGGUCACGGGCUGGGGAGCAGUGUGGGCAGCAGCCCAGAGGUGGGAAGGCCACAGCUUGGCUGGGUGUCCCCUUUCUGUCUUCUGCAGGUGGAGCCCCCUGAGCUGCCCGCUGACCUGCAACACUGGAUCUCCUACAAUGAGGCUAGCAGCCAGCUGCUCCGCAUGGAGAGUGGGCUCAGUGAUGUCACCAAGGACCAGUGACCGCCACCUUCACACCCUGUCUGCCCCAGCCACCAUCCUGGUCCUGGGGACUGCCCAAAGAUGGGCAGUCUGGGUCACACUCUGUUCCAGCUGGAGUGGCCUCCUGACCAGCCUGGCCCACCCCGCUCCACCCACUGGGCCCCCCCCCAGUUAUUGAUACCCCUCUGUGCUGGGCUCCACGCUAGGCAGAGGGAGGAGUGGCAUUGGCAUUCUGAGCCAGCUCUGCCCUCAAGGUGAGGAUGGAUGGGCAAAGGGGAGUCCUGCCUGGCCUUAUGAUGAGGCCACUCGUGUGGGCCUAGGUAGAGGAGGAUGGUGCCUGGAGCAGAGGGACCCACAAGUGCCUCCUGAGCCUAGAUCCUGGCUCGGACCACUGCAAGGGCCGAGGCAGGGCCAGACCAGAGCAUCCUGGGUAUAGGCCUGGGCUCUCCAGGGCCUGGGCCUGAUUCAGGUGCAGUGGGCACUCCUGAAGGGUCAGAGCAGCAUCUGCCAGGCAGCCCCCUCUGGCUUCCGCUGAGGUGGAUGCAGGCCUGGGGCAGAGCCUGGGUGGUCAGAGGCCGGGGCUAGAGGCAGAUGGAAGGGAGGCAUUUGCCGACAGAGGAUGGGGCACCUGGGCUCCCCGGUCGGCCUUGCCUCCUCCUCCUCCACUUCCAGUCAGGCUGGAUGGGAGGGUAGCCUUGUGGCUGAGAGGGGCCAGACUAGGUGGCACAGGGCCUCCUGGAAAGACAGCAGGCUUCCUGCUGGGGGUUCCCUUGUUGGAGGGAAUGGAGCAGGCAUGGGACUCUGCAGGGGCGUCCUUGUCCACUCGCACCCCUCGGUGCCCACCAGGGCCAUGCUCUGUGACCUGGGCUGAUCCCUGGCCUCUCUGGGCCUAUAGCAUCACAGGCCUCUGUACCCCCUUAGAGCUGCCCCUCUCUGGCCUGGCCAGCAGGCGUCUUCUUAACUCCUCUGUCCUCUAUAUUUAGUGUGUUCCUUGUCAGCUGCUGGGCCGGCCCUGCCUUGCGCUAGCAGAGCCUCUCCUGUUAGCUUCUCAGGUCUCCCUAAUGGAGACACCAGCCUGAGGCUCCAGCUGAUGCCCUCAGCUCCCAGAGAGGGGGGUGCCCCAUCUAGCUGGGUGCAGGGGUCACUGCUUGUCAGCUCAGGGCCCUGUGCCCGCCUGCUUGUGCCCCUACAUCUGUGCCUGCACAUCCAGAACUGCCUCCUUGCCGCUGCCUCCAGGAAGCCCACCUUGAGCCAGAGUCAAGAGCUACCGCGCUGCCCCUGAUAGAACACGCCUGCCCCCACUGCUGUUCUUGCCUUACAACCACCGUGGGAAAGCUGCAACCUUUCUGUUUUUUUUUAAAGAAAGCCCAACAUUAAAGGGUUUUCAUCAC
rnacentral:sRNA from 1 species